GGCCAAUGGGCGUGGCGAGGGGGCGUGCCCGCGGGCCGUCCCGAAGGUGGGCCGGGCGGCGCGUGGAGGCGAGCGGCCGCGGGGCAGGACGUGGAGCUACAUAUUCAGGACAACACUCAAAAGGAUCAUUUUUUUUGCAGAGCAAUGGAAAUGACAAGACAGAGGCAUUCUCUCUUUGACAUUAUGUUGGACAUCCUGGAAUGCUUUCUUAUGCAGGCUCAGCUCUUGCCACUAUACGUACAACCUCCAUGUCUUCUUCAGCCCCAGCCUGGGCAUAGCGAUGGGUCAUUGCGGGCAGAGAGAGAACAUUGCAGCUGAUAGCUCUGCUGGUUGGCUUUGGACAUGAUACGGCACAACUGCUCCACAGCUGCAGAGAAGAAUGAUUGGAGCCUGGUUUAGGAAAGAGAACAUCCCUGCUUCCUCUACCAAAUCUGACUUCAGCGAUGUUUGAACUCUUCAAAGGAUAGAUGUUUCACAAGAAUUCCUUUCCCUUUACGUAAACGAAAAGUCACAACAUGAGGCAUGCACCCAUCUUCAAAUUUUGUCUGAAGUGAUUGAAGCUCAGGUAGUUAACGAGUAAUUGACAUCAAGGUCUUCAAAUGGACAACAUCAGAUAAUCCCAGAAGCAGUGCUACAACUUUGGCAAAACCUUUCUAUAUGCAUUGAUAGACUUUAUCCUUUGGUGUAACUUGUGAAGCUUUGUCAGUUUCCCUAUGUUUAGUUGCUAGUUGCUUAAGUUCGUGCAAGGAAAGAAAAGGCAGGUUGUAUACGUUAUAACAGAAAUUGUCUGAAGGAUUUGGAGGAGUUGUAAACAUCAAUUCAUUUUCAAGUCUAAUGAUAAUAGUAAUGGCUCUUCUUUAAAGUAGGUGGUAAUUCCAUUUAAUGAGAACGGUUACCAGUGACUGUCUUUUUCACUGAACUCUUUUUAACUCCUGAGAUCAGUGCUUUUAUUAUGUCUUUGGCUGUGUCACAUGCAUAGAAACCUAACUGUAGUUGUUGCUACCUUUCAGGCUAUGUGAACUUGCUUGUUAACUGCUAUGAACAAUAUCAUCCAUUUUUCCCUUUCUGUGGUAAUUCACCUACCAACAGAUACAAUUUCACAGCAGCGUACUAUGUCGCAGCCCUUGGCACCCUUGCCAACGCAAUGGAUAUAUUCGGUGUUAGGAAUAUAUGUGGCACCAUGGUUCCUGUGCACUUAUAUGCAAUUUUUUGGGAACAUUUGGGUUAUCAUGAACUGUGCAGCUGCUGGGGAAGCAGCAUUAGUGUUAAAUGAUAUUUUUAGUCAGGUAUUCUUUUUACUGAGGAUAAAAUGCUUUCUGAUAAUCCCAGUUAAAAAGCUACUAUCAGCAUACGUAAUUUUGCCACCUCUGAAGAAAAUUGCUAGCAAUGUCAACAGUAGCCACAUUCAUACUUGUUUUGCAGUUAAAGAGUUUGGAGGCAAGUUGUGAG